GGUCGAGAGUCCCUGCGCCGAAAAUUUCCGGGGCUAAAGUACGGAACCGAAGCUGUGGCUGUGUACUUAGGUGCACGGGGUAGGGGAGCGUUGCCACAGGGGUGAAGCUGGUCUGGAAGGACUGGUGGACUUGUGGGAAGUGAGAAUGUUGGUAUGAGUAGCGAAAAGAAAGGUGAGAAUCCUUUCCACCGAAAGCAUAAGGAUUCCUGAGCAACGAUCGUCGUCUCAGGGUAAGUCGGGACCUAAUCCGAGGCAAAGAGCGUAGGAGAUGGACAACAGGUUGAUAUUCCUGUACCGGCAGCAAUUGUUUGAGCGAAGGAGUGACACAGAAGGGCAGGCAGGCGCGAGACUGGAUUGUCGCGUGCAAGCGUGUAGGGUAGUGUACAGGCAAAUCCGUACACUGAGAGCCUGAGGCGUUACGCGGAGCGAGCAGAGAUGCGAGCGAAGCUGCUGAUCCCACACUGUCGAGAAAAGCUUCUAGUGAGAGAGCUGCCGCCCGUACCGUAAACCGACACAGGUAUGCGGGGAGAGAAUCCUAAGGUGCGCGGGAGAACCCUCGUUAAGGAACUCGGCAAAAUGUACCCGUAACUUCGGGAUAAGGGUAGCCGUCUUGGUGAAGGAACUAGCUUCUGGAGCUGAAGGCGGUCGCAGAGAAGAGGCCCAAGCGACUGUUUACCACAAACACAGGUGCCUGCUAAAGCGAAAGCUGACGUAUAGGUGCUGACACCUGCCCAGUGCUGGAAGGUUAAGGAAGGAUGUCCGGGCAACCAAAGCAUUCGACCGAAGCCCCAGUGAACGGCGGCCGUAACUAUAACGGUCCUAAGGUAGCGAAAUUCCUUGUCGGGUAAGUUCCGACCCGCACGAAAGGUGUAACGAUUUGGGCACUGUCUCAACGAGGGACCCGGUGAAAUUGAAAUACCUGUGAAGAUGCAGGUUACCCGCGACUGGACAGAAAGACCCCAUGGAGCUUUACUGUAACCUGACAUUGGGUUUUGUUGUAUUACGUACAGGAUAGGUGGGAGGCUUGGAAGGCUGGACGCUAGUCUGGCUGGAGCCGGCGUUGGGAUACCACCCUUGAUACAACGGAAUUCUAACCGAGAGAGUAACGAAAUCCGGGACAGUGUCAGGCGGGCAGUUUGACUGGGGCGGUCGCCUC
rnacentral:rRNA from 1 species